UUUUCAAAAUUUCCUUAUUUUCUUUGCGGUUUUUUUUUUCUUUCAAUUUUUUCUAGAACUCUACAUUGUUUAAGGGGAUAUGGUAAUAUUAUGGAUUUUAUGUUUAUUGAGAGGGAAAUGAUAGUUAUUUAUUGUCAUCUGAUUUGCAUCUCAUAUUUGGAUGCAAAAUUAGUGAUUGACAUUAUUUUAUCUGAUUUUCUCUAAAAAAUGAUGUAAAAAUUCCUAUGGGUAUAUCUUCUUUUAGCUUUUGUUUCAGU
rnacentral:lncRNA from 1 species